AGGUGAGUAGUUCAACUGGUAGAGCGCCGGCCUCCAAAGCCGGAAGUUGAGGGUUCGAGUCCUUCCUCACCUGCAA
rnacentral:tRNA from 2 species